GACGAACGCUGGCGGCGUGCCUAAUACAUGCAAGUAGAACGAGUUGCGAACGGGUGAGUAACGCGUGGUAACCUGCCUCAUAGCGGGGGAUAACUAUUGGAAACGAUAGCUAAUACCGCAUACCAUCAGAUGUGCACAGAUGGGAUUAGCUAGUAGGUGGGGUAAAGGCUCACCUAGGCGACGAUCCCUAGCUGGUCUGAGAGGAUGACCAGCCACACUGGAACUGAUACACGGUCCAGAAUCCUACGGGAGGCAGCAGGGGGGAAGAUUGCACAAUGGGCGCAAGCCUGAUGCAGGCAUGCCGCGUGUGUGAAGAAGGCCUUCGGGUUGUAAAGCACUUUCAGCGGGGAGGCGUUACCCGCAGAAGAAGCACCGGCUAACUCCGUGCCAGCGGCCGCGGUAAUAA
rnacentral:rRNA from 1 species